ensembl:lncRNA
UCUCGCUUCCACAUAUCUGGCCUUGGGUGCCUAUGACGUUGAACAGCAGAAGUUUCAAGUACAUCUCCUGCAUCUCCUUCACUGACAGCUCCUUGAGCUGUGUCUGUAUCACUACCAUUAUCUGGGCUGUCAUCUUUCUCAGGUGUAUAGUCCUCAUUCAAAACAGUGUCAUCGAUUUCACUAUUUGACGAUAAAUCAGGAUCUGAUUCUGCUCUGGAGGCUUUACUGGCCGUUUCCUCUUCUAUUUGUUGCCCCAUGUCUACGCCAUUACCUUCUUUCUCAGGUGUAUAGUCCUCAUUCAAAACAGUGUCAUCGAUUUCACUAUUUGACGAUAAAUCAGGAUCUGAUUCUGCUCUGGAGGCUUUACUGGCCGUUUCCUCUUCUAUUUGUUGCCCCAUGUCUACGCCAUUACCUUCUUUCUCAGGUCUGCUCUCAUCUAAAUCCUCCAACUCCACUACAUGGGUAUCAACUUUAUUUCCUGACAUUAAAACAGACAAUGGAGUGCUGUUGAGUAUUUUAACUCAGUAAAUCAUGUUAAAUUCAUAGGUCCACUGCAAAAAAAAAAAAAAAAAAAAAAAAAAAAAAAAAAUCUAAAUCUUACCAAAUACUUCUUAUGUCUAGUCAAAAUGUCUAAUUUAUAUAAAAAACUAUUUUACUUUUUUUAUUUUACUAUUUUUACUUUUAUUUGCAUUUAAAAUAAAAAGUAAAUGCUUGAAAAAUUACUUCACUUUAUUUUUUCCAGCAUCUUUGCAUAUCUGAACCCUUUCCAGCAGUGACUGUAUGAUUUUGAGAUACAUCCUUUCACAUUGAGGACAUUUGCGGGACUCAAACACAACUAUUUAAAAAGAUUCAAACAUUCACUGAUGCUCCAGAAGGAAACAAGAUGCAUUAAGAGCUGGGGGGUGAAAACUUUUGGAAUUUGAAGAUCAAUGUAAAUUGUACUUAAUUUGUGUACCGGGAAACAUACAAGUAUAUUCUGUUGCUCACGAAGGGCAGAACUAAAUGGAAAACAAUUAUAUUUCAACAAAAUAAGAAAAAUUUGGCCAUCUUCAUUGUGUUCAAAAGUUUUCACCCCCCAGCUCUUAAUGCAUCUUGUUUCCUUCUGGAGCAUCAGUGAAUGUUUGAAUCUUUUUAAAUAGUUGUGUUUGAGUCCCUCAAAUGUCCUCAGUGUGAUAAGGUGUAUCUCAAAAUCAUAAAGUCACUGCUGGAAAGGGUUCAAAUAUGCAAACAUACUGGAAAACUGAAGAAUCUGCAGGACCUUAAAGAUUUUUCUGAAGAACGUUGCUCAGUUUAACUGUUCAGAACAAACAAGGGACUCAUGCACAACCAUCACAAAACAGAAAGACAGUCGAGGAUCAUCAGGUAACAGAAGACAGUAUAUAUAACUUUUGAGUGGGGUUAUUUUAAUAAUUUCAGCAAUUCUUUUGUCUUGUGGACUAAAUGUUAAUAUCUUUUAUGUACAAUAUCUUACUCAGGACAGUACUAAAUAAAAAAUAACACGCAUUUAGUAUGAUCUCUCUUAUUUUUUGAAAAUUACUCAUAUUUUCACAGAUUCUGCAAGGGGUGCCCAAACUUUCGAUCCCCACUGUAAAUGCAUAAAAACUAUCAUAUUGUAUUAUUUGUCUGAUGAUGUUCAAUUAUCAAUCAAUCCAUCCAUAACCAAGAUAAUUACUAGACGAUUUUCAUUAUCAUUAUUAUUAGUAUCAUCAUUAUCAUAGAUUUUGGCCUUUAUCAUAGACUUUGGCCUUUUCAGAACUUGUACUAUUAUGAUCAUUAUUAUUAUCAAUAUCUUUAUUAUUAUUAUCAUUACU